rnacentral:rRNA from 1 species
AAUCAAGUGCCUUAAGGGUGUUCGGUGGAUGCCUUGGCGCUGAGAGGCGAUGAAGGACGUGCUACGCUGCGAUAAGCCGUGGGGAGCUGCGAAGAAGCUUUGAUCCACGGAUUUCCGAAUGGGGAAACCCACCUUCGAUAGCUGGAACUCCAAGAUCUCGUAUCUUGGGGUUUGGACAGCAAUGUUUGAGAACCAAGCCGUGAGGUUUUGGAUUUCCAGUUAUCAAGUGAAGGUAUGAAAUCUCUGAAUUCAUAGGAGGUUUUAAGCGAACCCAGGGAACUGAAACAUCUAAGUACCUGGAGGAAAGGACAUCAAUCGAGACUCCGUUAGUAGUGGCG